rnacentral:rRNA from 1 species
AAGGAAUAUUGGACAAUGGUCGCAAGACUGAUCCAGCCAUGCCGCGUGCAGGAAGACGGCCCUAUGGGUUGUAAACUGUUUUUGUACCAGAGAAAACCUAUCUACGUGGAGAUAGCUGAUAGGAUGGUAAGAAUAAGCAACGGCUAACUUCGUGCCAGCAGCAGCGGUAAGACGAAGGAUGCAAGCGUUAUCCGGAUUCAGUGGGUAUAAAGGGGGCGUAGGCGGGCUUGUAAGUCAGUGGUGAAAUCUCUCAGCUUAACUGAGAAACUGCCAUUGAUACUGCAGGCCUAGAGGAUAGAUGACGGUGACGGAAUAUGACAUGUAGUGAUGAAAUACUUAGAUAUGUCAUAGAAGACCGAUUGCGAAGGCAGCUAAUGAAACUAUAACUGACGCUGAGGCACGAAAGUGCGGGGAUCAAA